rnacentral:lncRNA from 1 species
UUGAUAAGCACUUAAUGAGUGCCUUCUCUGUGCGAGAAUGGGGAGGAACAAAAUGCAGCUCCUACCCUCCUCGGGCUUUAGUUGUACCUUAAUAACAGGAAUUUUCAUCUGCCUGGCUCCUUUCCUCAAAGAACAAAGAAGACUUUGCUUCAUUAAAGUGUCUGAGAAGGAAGAAUCGUGUAACAGACACUACUCAAUAUCGAUCUCAACUGAUCCAGUUCUCCAGUCUCCCUGGAAAACAAUGGAUUGAUGCCCAGGGUGCGCUGAACACUGGAACCAUGGUCACUUCUGCACUUCACACGAUUCUGCUCCCACCAGUUGAGCUACCAACAGUUCCUGGUGCUUUUGCUUCCCAAACAUGUUUAUGCCAUUUGUUGCUU